GUGCUCGCUUCAGCAGCAUAUAUACUAAAACUGGAACGAUACAGAGAAGAUUAGCACGGCCCCUGUGCAAGGAUGACACACAAAUUUGUGAAGCGUUCCAUAUUUAA
rnacentral:snRNA from 1 species